AUCAGGACCGUUGGAAGGUUAUCCUCUGGAGAGGAAGUACCACUCUGAACAUUCAAGACCUCGCUUUUAGGCCCCGCUCAUUAUUCACCCACAAGUCACUUAACUUCCCAGACUUAAAAAAAAAGUCUAUAAAAUGGGAUUAGCCUGAAAUGCCUACGUCAAAUGAAGACAAAAUGAAAUUCAUGUGCAACCCUGAGAGUUGUAAAAUGCUCUAAAGAUUGAAGGUACCUGUUUUUUGUAUCUCCGGAAAUGUUAGAGGCGAGGUGCCAUUGCUUCUACCUACUAGACUUCUAUCCCACCCAACUUCCAGCUAGGAGACUCUUGAGUCAGAUCCACGUUCUUUAUCACUAGCUGGGCCUGAGCACCAGAUAGCUUAUCUGGUCUGCCCUGAUGUUCUGAGCUGGAAAACUGAGAAUCUCAAGAAACAGAAGAAACAGUCCAAAUUUCUACUCAGUUCCCAUGAGACCAGAGCAGAGGCAGGACCCAAGGAGAUUGCACCAUAGCUUUUAUCCCUUGGUUUCAUCCGACUCUUGUUUGAACCUCCCACUUUGUUGUUGCAGCUACUUUUUGAGAUGAAAGAAUAGGAAGAGAACUUUGACCCUCUCCACGAAGCCUGCAUUCCUUAGUCCAGGGUUGAGUUUUUGGGUUGACCUUAACCUACUUGUGGUUAGAAGCAGGGCCGUAUUCUUACAGGAUGUGUCCAGUAUCAUUCACCACGACUGUUAGUUCCAGAAGCCAGGCCAGUUGCACUGCAGAACCAUGGGCUCUUGUGGCUUUCUUUGGUGAGCAAACCUACUUCCUGUAGGGCUUCUUUCAAGUUCUGCCUCCUCUAGCGCCUUCUCUCACUGGUAAAUUCACUCCAAGGACUUCCUUCUUUGAACUCCAGUGGCAUUUAUAGGCUGUUUCCCAUAAUGUGAUGUGCAGAUUUUUUUUUUCUGAUUCAGUGUUUUCUCACUAUCUUCCUAUGUGGGUCGCAUCUGAACUCACGUAAAUUCUGUAAAGGCAGGGAUCAUGCUUGUUGUCCAGCAUUGUGUUGAGUGCCUUUCAGUCAGCACAGCACUUCCUUAUUUUCUUUUUGCUUAGCCCUUCCUUGAAAUAGUCCUUGGUGUUGAAUUGUGUGUUAGGAAGCCAGCUGGACCUAUGCCCUCAUUGAGGAGUUCUAUCUCUACUUUGUGGGAAGCCAUCUUAAUGCCUUGCCUCACAUGUUGCUUUGGGGGCUGUGCUGCCACACCAGUGUCACCUUGUGCCGAAGGUCUGAAUGUGAGCAAGAGCUCUCAGCAGAGGGAGCCAGCAGUUGAGCUCUCUCCCAACUGCCAGGACAGAUGGUUAUCCUGCCCAAGGGGCUCAUUCUCUGGGUAGUCCAGAGAAGAUGCCAGGAAGGCUGCAAGUGGGGAGGUCAGAGAGGCAGCAGGAGACCAAGAGAUAGUGGCCCUGCUAUCUUAUCACAGAAACCAAGGAAGGCAACAGUUGAAAACAAGUGGAGAUGCCUGGCGCCAAAUGGCUCAGGAGGGGUUUUCUGGGCUAACGACCAGAUGAGUUCAUGGGCUGUGGCAGCUGGCAGUGGUCUCCCCUGACAACCCCAUCUAGAGCGCCUCCACCCCAUCACUCUGCCACGCCUCCCUUUUACUCUCUGAGUAGCACUGUCAUUAGCUAAAAUCAUCUUGUUUAUUUCUAGCUCAUGUAUCUAAAGUAUCCUCCUUGAGAACAGCAACUUUGUCUUCUUCACCCUUGUAUUCUCAACUCCCAGCAUAGUGGCUGACACUCAGAAAUGUAGGGAUACGUGCACAGACGUGUCCAGAGUCCCCCGGCUAAUAAGUGGGACAUCUUUGGGGGCUUGGGGAGAACAGCAGGAAAUGUGCAUAUGUUUUGAAUACUGAUUUUAAAGAUUGUACAAUUUAAAAAUUAACGAGUUAAUCAUAGAAGAUUACCUUUUAGAAGGUAGAAGAAGGAAAGCACAUGAGAAUAAAAUCUGCAUAUAUGGCUGUUUACUUAUUUAGAGAUGAAUGAUAAUGUAAUAUCACAGAUGAAAACAUCUGGAGUUUCUACAAAUUGUAUAGAGACGGAAAUUUAGAACUUUAAAUGCUUUAACUAUUUAAGAAGAAAGAAUAAAAAAUGAAUUAAGCAUUUGACUCAAAUUAGAAAAAAGAACAAUAUAGACUAGGAGAGUCAUGAGGAAAGAAACAUGUACUAUAGCAAAAAUUAUUGAAUUUUAAAAUAGAAUAAAUUCAUGUCAUUUUUUUGAAAAAGCAGUAAAAUAGUAAAAAAGGAAAACAUUCAAAAUUAGAAAUGAACAAGGGUAUACAACAAAUGUGUAAGAUAGUACUAUGUGUAACCAGGUUCAUGAAUUCGCUACUUAGUGAAAUAGGUGAUUUUCUGAUAAAUUUGUAUGUGUGAAUGAAACCAAAAUUAUCUUAUCUUAAGCUAAAUGGAAGACCUGAAAGAUCAAUUAUCAGUGAAGAAAUGGAGAAAAGUGUACAAGUAUUAUCUCCAUAUGCUUCUAUGAAUGAGUUCUUUCAAACUUUCAAGGAACAGGCACUGAGAGUGGGAGAGAAUUCAUCCUCCAAAGAAAAAUCACGAUGCUAUUAAGAGUAGACGGAGGAGUGGAUGCUGGGCAAGCAAAGGCAACAGAUGUCUGCAGCAGGUGCCUGGGAGAAAAAGCGAGGUCCUACCUUCGCCACUGUGGGCAGUUUGACCUAAGCUGACUGUGCAAGCGAUGUGUGAACAUCCGGCCUCAGUGCUAAAUGCUUACCAAGAAACAGAGCCAACCCUGACACUGUGAAGGGAAACGAUGCCUCCUUUGGAUUCCUGAUCAGGACAAGAGAGACUACUGCCCUGUCCCCACCCAAGGAGGGAGACUCGGGAGAGGAGCUCAUGACGUGGGCACUAGCUCUCAGCUGCUUCGGCCAGUGAGGACUGACAGCACUCCGUCCCUGCUGGACAGCUCCCACUUUAUUGCUGCCUUGCAGGCCCCAUCAUCUAGUGAGGGCUUUUCCAGGAACCUGAAAGGCUCAGGGAAGUUUCCCAUGGGGCCUGGAGUUUAGACUUCACAAUAAGCACUCAGUUCAAUUGUCAAAACGUGUGAGGACUGUGGGAAUGCGUGAGCGGAGGGUACUUGCCACAGAGCUGAUGGCUGAUCGUGUGGGCAGUGAAACAGCUACCCAGGGAGAGAACAUGACUUAUGAGAAGAGCAAGAACCACAGGACUGUGGAAACUUCUACAAACUUGUGAGUCUCAUUAGGUGUGGUAAGACAGCUCCCUUGGUCUGUAAUUCCCCCAAUUUAGGGAUCAGAAGAGGAAAUCCAGGAAGGUAAGGGAAAUGAUAGGGGACAGUGAAGUUCCAGAGGGGACUGAAGGUGUCCUUGGAUGCCCAGGUUGACUCAACCCAGCAUUUAGUAGCUCGUGUGAGGAGCAGUGGGUAAGGAGGGCACAUGGGAUUUC